GAAGUACUACAAAUUGCUUCCCUACAUAGAUUCUCUGAAUUUAGCAUCUGGCGACCAUUUGAAUCUAAAUAUAAAUGCAUUGCGCAAUGCACAAAACAAUUCUAAUUUUGCGUUAAUACUUAUUCCAUUAAAUUGUUAGACAAGAUCCGCAUAAUUCCAAUUGCAUUCAUUUCGUGCACAGCCCGUGGUCCCCGCCUCUCUUCUCGGUGAGCAUUGUCGGCAAUGGCACUCAAAUAUAAUACUAAGCUAAUGCAUGAUAGUACAUUUCUAUUGUUUUGUCGCGAAAGAAAUUCACUCUAGUCUACGUUACUGUCGCUGUCGCCCCCAUCUUGGAACGUGCCUCUCUUUAAAUUGCGCUAGCCACCGGUGUCAAUUCAUUGCUCCACAAAACAAAGUUUGCGUCAGCCAAGUUCAAUGUUACUAUUUUGUUGCAUAUGCAGCACAGCGAAAUUGGAGUUAUCAUAUGGAAGUGUUGUCUAUUGGGUACUGGGGGAACAUCAAACGAUUGUUACCACUAUCGAUCCCCCAUUAGAUCAUAUCCGGACUCAUGCACAAGUAACUUAAUUGCAUAUGUCGACUGGGGAGUACACUAUUGGUAGACCAGGGAACGGCCGGGGUUUCCUAGAAACUGCAGCGGUUGUGCAAUAAUGGAAGAUAUCUAAUAUAAUGUGUUCAAUAUGGUUGACAGUACUAAUUGUGGUGUUGCACCAACUUAUUCAGUCGUGUCUGGGGUAAAUUACUUCCCCCAGUGAAGGUGUCGUGAUACUUGCUUCUGAAAAACUUGUGGUAAUCGAUCAAAGAAUUUCUAUGCGCUAAAGAAUUGGUCCGACGAACUAUUUUAAUAGAUGCGGAAGAUAUUAUAUACAAUCUGAACGUAGUAUCUGCAGAAAUACGUAUCGGCGUACGCUUUGAAAAUUCGAUGCUGACGUAAAGAAUUACAAUAUUUCGAGGACAUUUGCUAUCUUCAAUGGUUCUUACUUUUAAUCGUUAUAAAAUCGUGGAUAUAAAUGAGGAAACAAUUUUUGUAAUUUAAGCAAUUCAAGGGUAAGUUGAGCGAACGUGAUUUGGACAUAAAUGAACUUUUAUCUUAUUCAUGAUUAAUGGAUUCAUUUUCCCAAGUGAAUAGUAUUAGAAGAUCAGAUAAAACAAAGUCUCAUGUAUUGUCCUUUUAAAUUAUGACGAUUGUUACAUUUUAGAAAGUAAUGAUGGUGGAAGUUGAAACAUAGGAAAUUAUGGGUAAUAAAACAAAGUGGAAAAACCAUCUAUAAUAGAAAUCAGUUUCGAAUUACGUUGGAAAUGGAUUCACAAAAAAAUUGAUACUUCUAAGAAAAAUUCAAUGCUAACAAUGCUGAAGUACGAAUAUGAAACUUAGUACUGGAGGUCUGCUCAUUAUACAGUACAAUGACACCCUGAUAUGAGCAUAUCAAAUAUGAACAAUUUUGUAACUUAAGCUUUGAGUUUUCUGAUGUUUCACAGGCUCUGGAAACCACACCGAAAGGGUGGAAAAUAAAAAUACAGCUGAAGAGAAACAUCCCUCAGCACUUUCAAUAUCUUUGUUUCAAAUUUCCAUCCCAACUUCAUAUUACACAAAAACAUGAACAUUAUUUUAAAUUUUGAUUUUUAAAUGAUCAUUUUAAUUCGCUAGUCCGUUAGAAAACCCUCUCAUCUUUAA
rnacentral:misc_RNA from 1 species